CAGUGUUAAGGAUCUUUCUCUUUUCCAGUCAAUGCCCUCAUUUUAACAGAAAACAGACUCAAUUUACGUUGAAAUUAAAAUUCCCACAGGAUGAAACUGGAUUCUUUUCCUGCACUCUUGUGCUUGUGACUGCAGGAAAUGAGAAUUUCAUCUAGGGCACAUAUAGAAGCUUUCAGUUCCAUUCUGUGGAGUCCAGGAAAUUGAAGCUGGGAUUACCACAUUCCAUCUCUCUCUCUUCCUGUGAAGAGAGGAGCAACGAGCCAAUCCCAUCAUGCCAUCGCUUAACUGAAUAAUGCAUUCUACAGUUUUGACAUUCCUUAGAUAUCAACAUUGACCACUGUCACCCUUAUUGCCAACUUAAUUGACAAGAACCCCUGAGAGGUGCCGGGGUGCCAAAGCAACAAGACAAGGGACCCAAUUUGCCCCUGAAAGUGACUGAUGCAUGGAGAUAAAGCGGUGGCACCAACUGGCACAAUUCCUACUAAACAGGUGCUCCUUGCUAGAGUACAUAGUGCUCCUUUUGUUUAAAGGAAGGAUGGACUAUUUACGUGUACAGAGAAUUCUGAAAGGAAAACCCGAGAACGUCUACAUCCGGGUCCUGCGAGGCGGUGAUGGGCUCCCAGGCCUUAGGCUGACUGCACUCUACUCCAUCUUAUUGAAAGCCUGCUCCAAUUCUUGGAGAAGUCCACGUUCAGAGUUUUGGGAACUGUUUUGUGCAUGUGUCCAGGACCUUGUAAAUAACAGGCCAUGCCUACUUCCCCAGCCAGGCUUUGCUAUGCCCUAAUUUCUUAUUUCUGUAUGAAAAGCAGGAAAGGCUUAUCACCCGUAUGAAGUGUCCAUUGAUGCCACUAACACAAACAUAACCCAGCAGAGUUGAGAAGAGAAACUGUUGUCUGCAAGAAAAACAAAGUGACUAUAAUUUUCAAGGAAGAAUACGAAAAAGGAAGAUGUAGAUGAGCGACAGAUUGAUGGAUCAAUAAAUAAGAGGAGGGCUAGAGGACGAGGAAAGACAAGCAUAGAAGAGAAGAGCAGAAAAUCAGAGAUGUGGAGAGAAGAGGGAGGGUGCUAUGGAGACCUGCAGUAGGCUCUACUUAAGCAUAUGGCCAAAUAUUGAUGAGCUUUCCCUGAUGGCUGUAGAAGAGCAACUCAAAACAGUAGAGAAAGCUAUUGUGGAGAUUAAGAAUAAGAAUACUGUGUAUCCUUAGUGACCAGGAAAAAAUAUUUUUAAUACAGAGAACAUCCUACAGAGUCAUCAGAAAUUACAUGUGAAUCCUCGAACUAAUCCCUCUGUAAAAUCUGCUCUGAAUCUGUUCAAAUAAAUUUUAGAAAAGGAAA
rnacentral:lncRNA from 1 species